rnacentral:rRNA from 1 species
UACGUAGGCAGCGAGCGUUGUUCGGAGUUACUGGGCGUAAAGGGUGUGUAGGCGGUUGCUUAAGUUUGGUGUGAAAUCUCCCGGCUCAACUGGGAGGGUGCGCCGAAUACUGAGUGACUCGAGUGCGGGAGAGGAGAGUGGAAUUCCUGGUGUAGCGGUGAAAUGUGUAGAUAUCAGGAGGAACACCGGUGGUGUAGACGGCUCUCUGGACCGUAACUGACGCUGAGACACGAAAGCGUGGGUAGCAAACAGG